GUAGGUGGCAAGCGUUGUCCGGAAUUAUUGGGCGUAAAGCGCGCGCAGGCGGUUCUUUAAGUCUGAUGUGAAAGCCCACGGCUCAACCGUGGAGGGUCAUUGGAAACUGGAGAACUUGAGUACAGAAGAGGAAAGCGGAAUUCCACGUGUAGCGGUGAAAUGCGUAGAGAUGUGGAGGAACACCAGUGGCGAAGGCGGCUUUCUGGUCUGUAACUGACGCUGAGGCGCGAAAGCGUGGGGGAGCAAACAGGAUUAGGUACCCUGGUAGUCCACGCCGUAAACGAUGAGUGCUAAGUGUUAGGGGGUCUCCGCCCCUUAGUGCUGCAGCUAACGCAUUAAGCACUCCGCCUGGGAGUACGGCCGCAAGGCUG
rnacentral:rRNA from 1 species